UGCUAUAAGCCAAGGAUAGCUAACAGAAAUACAAUGUGAAAAUAUCUACAUUAAAAAAGAAGAAAGACCUAAAGAGUAAGUUGAGUGCACGUGGCAUCUUCUCUCAUUGAUGACUCUGAUGAAGAGAUCGCCCCAUAUAACAAGAGAAGAAAGUUAUAAUCUCCACAAACCAAUUGCUAUAUUUCACCAAAGUGAUUGCUUUAAAAUAUACCGGGAAGAAACUGGGAAUUUACAUCAAGAGUUCUAGAAAUGAGUUAAAGGGACAAAAUAGAAGAAGAGGUACGCCAGCUUUAAAAAAUAGGACCUUGCAGCUGUGCACCAUAUGUCUAUCUGAAAUAUGCCAAUGAUAUGUCAUAAAAGAAGGAUGGAGACAAAAUCUGGCUAAAUCAGUGAAAGGCUGUCUUAACCAGUGAAAAUCACCUUGUCUGAAUGGAAAAAACCCAUCCAAGAAGCUGGACCAACAUUGAUUGGAAUCAAAGAGUUAAUCUGAUUUUAUGUUUUCCUAAUUCAAAUGAUUUUUUUUCAGCCUACCCCCAAAGGUUUGGAAAUAUACAAAUACCAAUUUUUAAUGCACAAUUCUGUAGAUGACUGUGAAUAUAAAUUUUGCAGUUUAUAAGUCAUAAUUUUAGAAUUCAUUAUCAAUUCAUCCCAAAUAGGUUAACAUAUGACCUUUGUACCAAAAAAAAUUUAGUCAAAGUAGUAAAUAACUUUGUUUUUCUAUAAAUUAUAUACAGUCCUAAUUUGGAAAAAUAUAUAACAAAUAUUUUAUUAAUAGUGGUUUAUUGGCUAAUAUAUCAGCUUUCCAAAGAUAAAGCAUUAAAAACAUACAUUCUAAAUUAAAUACUUAGCCACUCAUUCACAUUUAAAAUAAGAUCUUUUAAAAGAAAUAAUAAGCAGUG